rnacentral:rRNA from 1 species
AUGGUCAUUUAUGUCAGGUCCGAGUGCGAGAUCAGUGAUAUCCUCUGUGGGCACUGCGUACUCCUGUGUCGAUGUGAAAGAUCCAAAGCCAAGAAGCUCUCCAACCAUGGCCUGAAACUCACAAUAUACAAGAUGGUACCAGGGGGGCAGGAGUUGGCCUAUUUCACCAGCAGAGAUGGUUUCCAGAUCACAAAAGGAGUGACCAAGUGUGUCCAGAGAGUACAUAAGAAGGGCCUGUGCUUCGUAUGUGAGCUGUCUACAGACAAAUUCUAUCUUACUGCAGACAAGAAGAUCAGGGUUGCUGAAGUUUACUUUGAUAAGCACAAUAUCCAGGGCUCGAACAGAGACUACGUUGGGUCAGCUGAAGUCAUUAGGAGCCUGUUCCCCCCUGAGCUAGACAUGCCAGCACCAAUACGACAACUUACUGCGCUAAUGGAGAAGCAAGGUAACAAGAAAGAAAAUCUCAUCGGCGAACACAUUGGUCACAAGUCCUCGACGAGGAGGACAGUGUCAUACACGAAAAUACACAAGAAGUUCAGAAAUGUGUUGUUCAACAACCCGAAGGCAGUAGAAGGUGUGAUCAAAGCUAUCGAGAAGCUUGAUUGCUACAACAGUUGGAAGACCAAGGCUGAGGCCAAUGACUUUCUUAGUGUUGUCCUUCAUUCCAAGGACAGCACAGGGAAAGAAGUAGUCUAUGAAGAUGAUGCCACGGGUUUACUGUGGUUCAUACGCAAUGUCAUUGAGCAUCUUAUGGACCGCAAAUAUCAGAAGUUGCAUGUCGGCAGGGAACUCUAUGAUGAAGAGAUAGACCAUAUACUGACAGGUGUCUACCCAGGGCUCUUCGAAGUCUUCCAAAAGGCUAUGUCAGAUGACGGCCAUGACACUUCCCUUGACUGA